CCAAAAUGAUGUAUAAACUAUUUGCUUGAUAUUUUCUAUGAAAGCAAAAAUAAACUGAUUUAAUGAGACUGAUUG